rnacentral:tRNA from 1 species
UAGAUUUUAAGUUAAAAAAACUAAGGGUCUUCCAAACCCUAAAUAAGGUAACCCUUAAAUCUAG